AUAGGAUUCAAAUUAUAUAAUUAUGGUAUAAAAAUGAGGUGUAUGUAAAGGAAUAUUAUUGCUAUAAUAGUUGUAUCUUAAACUACAUGCCCAAGCUAUCUACCGAGGGAAUUUCAGAGCCAUAUGAUAGGCUCAAAAGAGGGGAGUGGCCGUGGACCGGAGGGGAGAGGGAGGAAGGGAAAUAGCCGAAAAACGGCUAGGUAAAGGGAAAAUAAGGGCGCGGUGGCCAUCUUGGUAGGGGAAUGGUCUCCAUUAGGCUAUGUGAAAA